GGGCCAUUAGCUCAGCUGGUAGAGCGGCAGACUCUUAAUCUGCAUGUCGAAGGUUCGAUCCCUUCAUGGCUCA
rnacentral:tRNA from 1 species